UACGGAGGGUGCAAGCGUUGCUCGGAAUCACUGGGCGUAAAGCGUACGCAGGCGGCUCGUUAAGUCGGGUGUGAAAGCCCGGGGCUCAACCCCGGAAUUGCGCCCGAGACUGGCGAGCUUGAGUACGGGAGAGGGAUAGCGGAAUUCCUGGUGUAGAGGUGAAAUUCGUAGAUAUCAGGAGGAACACCAGUGGCGAAAGCGGCUUCCUGGCCCGAUACUGACGCUCAUGUACGAAAGCGUGGGGAGCAAACAGG
rnacentral:rRNA from 1 species